rnacentral:rRNA from 1 species
GAUGAACGCUGGCGGCGUGCCUAAUACAUGCAAGUCGAGCGAACAGAUGAGAAGCUUGCUUCUCUGAUGUUAGCGGCGGACGGGUGAGUAACACGUGGGUAACCUACCUAUAAGACUGGGAUAACUCCGGGAAACCGGGGCUAAUACCGGAUAAUAUUUUGAACCGCAUGGUUCGAUAGUGAAAGACGGUUUCGGCUGUCACUUAUAGAUGGACCCGCGCCGUAUUAGCUAGUUGGUAAGGUAACGGCUUACCAAGGCGACGAUACGUAGCCGACCUGAGAAGGUGAGCGGCCACACUGGAACUGAGACACGGUCCAGACUCCUACGAGAGGCAGCAGUAGGGAAUCUUCCGCACUGGGCGAAAGCCUGACAGAGCAACGCCGCGUGAGUGAUGAAGGUCUUCGGAUCGUAAGACUCUGUUGUUAGGGAAGACCAAAUUUGUUAGUAACUGAACAAGUCUUGACGGUACCUAACCAGAAAGCCACGGCUAACUACGUGCCAGCCGCCGCCGUAA